rnacentral:tRNA from 1 species
GCCUCUGUGUCGAAAUUGGUAAACGAACUUGACUCAAAAUCAAGCGCUCGCAAGGGCUUAACGGUUCGAGUCCGUUCAGGGGCA